UUUCAUCCAAGUGUAAAACAUGUGCCCGUCUCGCCAGGAACAUGACGAAAAUCGCACAUAACCAGCUACUUUCACACAGCCGGCGCGGCUGCUGCAAAAAUACCGGCAAUGGGAAAUUCAGUGAGUUGAAUUUUUUUACGACAAAACACAGACUAAAGAUCGCUUCGCCCGUGUGGGGGUGGGCUACCUGUGCCAUUUCACCGCUCGUUACGGCGCGACAUUUUAAGUUCAGAAUGUUGCGUCACGUUUCAUGGCUUUUUUUUUCUCGUUGAAAUUCAACUUGGCAAUCCGCUAGAAUCUUGUCAAGUCUUCCUUUCGGCCUGUUACAAAUGUUUGCAUCCUUCUACAGAUUUAUACUAUUAUUUCGAGUUUCCUUCAGUUUUAAGAGGUGUCAAAGUGUAAGCCGUUCUACUCUAGGACGCAUACCGUGCCUUAUCCCCUUAAAAGGGCGUAUAUCUUUUUAUUUCGUGGAUUCUCUCUUUCAUUAGCCAGAUCAUAUGAAUGUCUAUAAGCUUCACUCCUCUUUAGCACGUCAUUUAAACUGUAAAUCUCCCGCAAACAUUGAAAAGGCUCUGUAAUUAGGAAGUUCUUGUACGCACGAGGGUCGAAAAAGAAGAUUUUGUACAGUAAUCGUACAAAGAAUGCCCUGUUGAAAGAUGUGAGGUAUGGGAUUAACGGCCCCAAGUCGUUUGCUUUAAUUGCUGACAAAAAUCUCUCUCUGUGCGAGGAUUUAUUUAAGAGAAUGACUCGCGAGGUAAGACUAGUGCGAGUCAAAAAGGCUGAGAAGCGAACAUUCGUUCUAUUGAUAUCCUCACACGUCGCGCGCGUGCUUUAGUAUACUCGCGUGUUUUCCACACCAUAUAUUCAACCUGCGCGCUCUCCGCUCAUACAGAUGUAAGACCGUAUUAUUAAGAACUGAGCGCUUUGGUCUCCGGAAACUAAGGCCCGACAGUAAUUUACAUACUUUUAUAUUGGUCAUGCUUUAAAUCCUCCUAAAUGUUUCGAGACCUAUAACUAGUAAUCUAGAUUAAUCUUGUUACUUUAAAUAAAUAUAUUUUGAAUCUCCAGUGGGCUGACAUUUUUGGUUUUUCCUGUUUAGUUAUUCACCCGUCAUGCCUGAUAUCCGGAACGUAUUAAAUGAUUAAAUCACAAUUAUUUGAUAGCUUUGAAGUCUUUAAAUGGGGCCUAACAGGUUUAAGGGAUGUUAUCAAAAUUCGUCAUUCAAAAUUCCUGACCCUAUGAAUUGUUUCGGACUUGUCCAGAACGUUUCUAGAUUUGCGACGAGCCUGUUGGGCGCGUUUUCUCCAGAAGCAAUAUUUGCACACUAUAGUAUUUAUAAAUAUUCAGGUAUCAUAAAAAUUUAAAGCCGAUAUUUAAAGAGUUUCGAUAUAAUGACCACCGAUAUGGAAAUUAUUUUGACUUGUCUGUUCUGAUCAAAAAGCCGGUUCGACAAUAUGACACCCUCUAAAUAUAUUUCUGUUGAUAAUUUCUGGUCAUUAAGAAGUCUACAGCAUUAAAAUUUGAGUAAACUGGUUUCUUUUUUGUACUUUCUCUUCAAUUCAGAAUUUUUCUUUUUUACGUGGCAGAGUACGGCCAAAAGGAGCACUCUGGCAUUGGUUCAUAGCGACGCUUUUCAGGGCCCGUCGACACGUCGCUGGAGGAAUUUCAAAACGCAACAAUCAGCGACCGUGUCGGCAGCCAUGGAUAAGCUGAAAGUACACGGCAGCAAACCUUACGAAAAGCCAAGCCAGGACCGGCAAGAAACGUAACUGUACACCUGUUGACAGCGCAACGAAAACUGUCAAGAAAAGAAAAAGAAUCGCCCGCGAUGAGAGAACAGCGCGUCAAGGUAGAGACACCAAACGACAAAAGGAAUUUGCAGCCUUGCUAAGCUUGUAAAUGUUUGCUCCUGGAUAUGACUGCAGCAUCUUUGCAGUGUCAUUUUACGGCUCGGUACGUGAGGAAGUACAAUUUCCGUGUGCGUGCGUUCAGGAAGCUGGUGAAGUUGUGUUACGUACGUCAGAUGGUGGGCGUCAAAAGAUGGACCAUGCUACAAAGUACAAGUAAAACUCAGACUAGCCAUUGCUAAGAAAGCUUGAUGCUCUUUUAAAAUGGUGCGGUAGGCAUUCAAACUCACAGAAAAGCCUGUUUUAAUCACUGACCCCACUUGGUUUGCCGUUGUAGUUUAGUCAUCAAUCUUUUUUUCUCCUCCUCCUCCUCCUUAGGGAAAUAGUGCUGAGUCAUUAGGCAAGUGACUACAGCAAAGGGAAUUUCACCACCGUAAAUUCUUAUGUCUACAAAUUUCCUCGAAUUAAAAGUGAAAAAGAAUGUUUUACAAUCAGUUUGAAGAGAAAUAGGUGGCUCGUUUCUCAGACAGGACUCAACACAAUGGAAAAAGGUCAUGUCUUGUUUGUAUAGUUCCCCCUAUCUGGAUAAAUAUUGAGGGUAAACGCCACAAUCCCUGAUGAGGUGGCUCCUCCUUAACAACAGCCGAGGUGCUAUGACUGAUUCUCUACCAUUUAUCACCUAGAGUAGAUAGGUCCAGUGCAGCUGUGUAAAGUAUCCGUAAUUUUAUACAUAUCAAGCUCAGAGAGGCCGAAAUUACUGUACGUUAAAACAAUUUCUCCCAACAUUUUAUCGCUUACAUAGGAGUGUUUUACUGUUAGUGUCUUAUUGCCACCAGGAAGGCAUCUUCCACACUUGUAUUUUUAUCAAGCCUGUGACAAUGAAACAAACUGUUUCUACGAGUUUUAUCUUUUAUCCAGUGUCAGUGUAAUCAAAUAAACAUGCCCCUAUUUCUCGCCACAUUUUGUAAAACCGUUAGUGUAUGUGGUAUUUGUUAAGGGUUUUUCGCAAAAUGUUGAUUAUAUGUUGAAAACAAUACACACCUUUACAGUCGGGUGCGACUACAAGUUUUCUUGUUUA